rnacentral:rRNA from 1 species
AGAACGAACGCUGGCGGCAGGCUUAACACAUGCAAGUCGAGCGCCCCGCAAGGGGGAGUGGCAGACGGGUGAGUAACGCGUGGGAAUCUACCCAAUCCUUCGGAAUAGCUCCGGGAAACUGGAAUUAAUACCGAGUACGCCCUACGGGGGAAAGAUUUAUCGGGGUUGGAUGAGCCCGCGUUGGAUUAGCUAGUUGGUGGGGUAAUGGCCUACCAAGGCGACGAUCCAUAGCUGGUCUGAGAGGAUGAUCAGCCACACUGGGACUGAGACACGGCCCAGACUCCUACGGGAGGCAGCAGUGGGGAAUAUUGGACAAUGGGCGCAAGCCUGAUCCAGCCAUGCCGCGUGAGUGAUGAAGGCCCUAGGGUUGUAAAGCUCUUUCAGUGGGAAGAUAAGUGACGGUACCCACAGAAGAAGCCCCGGACUAACUCGUGCCAGCAGCCGC